rnacentral:lncRNA from 1 species
GGACAGGCAGUAGGCGUCAGGGGGCGCCCUAAGGCUCCACGGCAUAUGCCUGUACUGCUGGGACAUCGAGCCUUCCCAAGUCAACCCGAGGUGGAGUGGAAAUUACAGAAGUAGGGAGCAGGAUAAAGUUCUCAAUUGCCAGAUGUGGAACAGAUUGCUCUUGGGUCUUCUGGUUAAAAGAUUGGAUCAAAACGAGUGAAGGAGGAGUUAUUUAAGAAGGACCAAGACAACAUCAUCCUUCAGAGGUCACUGAGCGGCACUUGCAAAUAAACGUAUUCAGAAUAUGCAAAACCUAAAGAAAGAGAAGAGGAGAUUGAAUAAAAGGUUUGCAAGGCCUUCUCCUAUUCCAGAACCAGGACUCCU